CCUACGGGGGGCUGCAGUGGGGAAUAUUCGACAAUGGGGGCAACCCUGAUCCAGCCAUGCCGCGUGUGUGAAGAAGGCCCUCGGGUUGUAAAGCACUUUCAGUGAGGAAGAACGCCUGGUGGUUAAUACCCAUCAGGAAAGACAUCACUCACAGAAGAAGCACCGGCUAACUCCGUGCCAGCAGCCGCGGUAAUACGGAGGGUGCGAGCGUUAAUCGGAAUUACUGGGCGUAAAGCGCGCGUAGGUGGCUUGAUAAGCCGGUUGUGAAAGCCCCGGGCUCAACCUGGGAACGGCAUCCGGAACUGUCAAGCUAGAGUGCAGGAGAGGAAGGUAGAAUUCCCGGUGUAGCGGUGAAAUGCGUAGAGAUCGGGAGGAAUACCAGUGGCGAAGGCGGCCUUCUGGACUGACACUGACACUGAGGUGCGAAAGCGUGGGUAGCAAACAGGAUUAGAUACCCUUGUAGUC
rnacentral:rRNA from 1 species